GAUGAACGCUGGCGGCGUGCCUAAUACAUGCAAGUCGAGCGAACGGACGAGAAGCUUGCUUUUCUGAUGUUAGCGGCGGACGGGUGAGUAACACGUGGAUAACCUACCUAUAAGACUGGGAUAACUUCGGGAAACCGGAGCUAAUACCGGAUAAUAUUUUGAACCGCAUGGUUCAAAAGUGAAAGACGGUCUUGCUGUCACUUAUAGAUGGAUCCGCGCUGCAUUAGCUAGUUGGUAAGGUAACGGCUUACCAAGGCAACGAUGCAUAGCCGACCUGAGAGGGUGAUCGGCCACACUGGAACUGAGACACGGUCCAGACUCCUACGGGAGGCAGCAGUAGGGAAUCUUCCGCAAUGGGCGAAAGCCUGACGGAGCAACGCCGCGUGAGUGAUGAAGGUCUCGGAUCGUAAAACUCUGUUAUUAGGGAAGAACAUAUGUGUAAGUAACUGUGCACAUCUUGACGGUACCUAAUCAGAAAGCCACGGCUAACUACGUG
rnacentral:rRNA from 1 species